UUUUUUCUUUUUCUUUUUUUUUUGUUUCAACGAUUGUACGAUUGCUUGUACUUUGCUCUAUUAAUGAUAUAUUAUGUUCUUUUAUAUAUCUUGUCUCAUAUAUGUUAGGUUUUUUAAUAUUGUACUAUAUAUGUAUUGUAACACCCUGACCUCUUAGCGUGCUUAGAUUAUACAUCAUGUCAAAAUGGUUGGAACAAGAGGGGCGAGGGUUCAAUUUAAUUCCCAUUGAAAAAUUAUACAGUGCAAACAAUAGAGCAAAAAAAUAAAUUUGUACUUAUAUUAUAUAUAUAAGUUGGUAAUUCUGUUGAUGCAAGGGAAUAUCAUAGUGAAAUGGCAGAUAGGGUUCAAAAAUUACUUUGUGUUAUAGGUACUUAUAGGUUCAAAUUCUCUGUGUGAGAUUUUUUUUACUUAUUAAAAUUCUCUUAUAUGAAUUCCCGACUCUACCACAAUACGACAGUAUGACACUAUUACGUUAUUAUUGGUGAUUUAUCAUCCACAAGCAGUGUCAUUUGAUUACUACGACGUUAUCGACUAUGACAAUAUGUAGGCACAGGUUUUUAAGGCAUAAUCGUUUGUUGAUUUUUUAUAAUAAGUACUUGACAAUUUAUAUAUGCGCAAAAGAUUGCUUAUACGAAUCAGACUGUAUUAUUGUAACGAUCCGGCCGGUCGUUUUGAGUAUUAUAACCUUGUUUUCCCAUUUACUGUUCAAGUUAUGCUUUAUAGUUAUUUUAUAACUUACUUGGUUUGGGUCCGGAGGAUUUCGGAGUAAAAGGAGACACUUAGUCUCAUAAUUGAAAAUUUAAGUUGGAAAAAUUGACCAGAUAUUGACUUAUGCGUAAACGACCUCGAAAUUUAAUUCUGAUGAUUCCAAUACCUCCAUACGGUGAUUUUGGACUUAGGAGCAUGUCCGAAAAUUUAUUUGGAGGUCGGUAGUGGAAUUAGGCUUAAAUGGCGAAAGUCGAAUUUUUGGGAAGUAUGACUGGGGGUUGACUUUUUGAUAUCGGGGUCGAAAUCCGAUUCUGAAAAUUUGAAUACCGUCGUUAUGUCAUUUAUGAUUUGUGUGCAAAAUUUGAGGUCAAUCGGACGCGAUUUGAUAGGUUCCGGCAUCGUUUGUAGAAACUUGAAAUUUCAAAGAUCAUUAGGCUUGAAUUGGGGUAUGAUUCAUGGUUUUAGCGUUGUUUGAGGUGAUUUGAAGGUUCGACUAAGUUCGUAUGAUAUUUUAGGACUUGUUGGUAUAUUUGGUUGAGAUCGCGGGUGCCUCGGGUGAGUUUCGGAUGGUUAACGGAUCAAAUUCGGACUUAGAAGAAAAAGCUGAAGUUUCUUCCAUCUGAUGCAAUCACCCCUGCGAAAAUUCCAUCGCAUGUGCGAGCCCGCAAAAGCGAGCCUUGCAAGCGCAGAUGCGGGCAGAGGGCUGUGAGGCAGUGGUCGCAGGUACGAGGGAAAUUUCGCACCUGCGAUGAGCGCAGAUGCAGUCCCUUGAUCGAAGAAGCGGAGGCAGGCUUAAGUGAUUUUUCCGCAGAAGCGGAGCUUUGAUCGCAGAUGCGGCUCCUUUUAAUCGAAACUCCUCGCUAGAAUGUUAAAAACAAAGGAGUCCGAGAUUUUGUUAUUUUUGACAUUUCCAAAAGCGGGUGAGGCGAUUUUUGAGCGAGAAAUCACGUGAAAUUUGAGGUAAAUCCCUUGUGAUNNNNNNNNNNNNNNNNNNNNNNNNNNNNNNNNNNNNNNNNNNNNNNNNNNNNNNNNNNNNNNNNNNNNNNNNNNNNNNNNNNNNNNNNNNNNNNNNNNNNNNNNNNNNNNNNNNNNNNNNNNNNNNNNNNNNNNNNNNNNNNNNNNNNNNNNNNNNNNNNNNNNNNNNNNNNNNNNNNNNNNNNNNNNNNNNNNNNNNNNNNNNNNNNNNNNNNNNNNNNGGGUUCCGAGAUGUGGGCCCCACGGGCGAUUUUUGAGCUAAAUUUCGGAUUUAUACGGAAAAUUAAUAUUUUCUUAUAGAAUUAAUUCCAAUAAAUUUUAUUGACUGAAAUAAAUUAUUGUGACUAGAUUCGAGGUAUCCGGAGGAUGAUUUGCGAGGCAAAGGCAUAGCAUAGUAAAGAAUUUCACAUUUUGAGGUAAGUAACAGUUAUAAAUCUGGUCCUGAGGGUAUGAAACCCCGAAUUUUGUAUCACGUGAUUAUUUUGGAGGUGACACACAUGCUAGGUGACGGGCGUAUGGGCGUGCACCGAGCGGAUUGUGACUUGGUCCGUCCCGUGAAACUGUAAAGUUGAAUAACUUGUUGUUAGCUAUAUGCUCUCUAUGUGUUAAAGAAAUUUAACUGUAAUUUUGCUUAGGCUAUGUGAUAGUGUUGUUGGGACCCAUAGAGGUCGCGUACUUGUUGAAUUAUUUGCUAAUUAUUGUCUUGUACUCAGUCAUGAUUUUACUUGCGUAUCAUACCUCAGCCAUUCUUGAUUUUGUUGAUACACUAUGUUAUCUUUGUUUGGGCUGAUCUUUGUGAUUUCCGAGAGCCCGAGAGACUAGAGAGGUUGAGGACUGAGUAAGGCCGAGGGCCUGUCGGCAAGGUAAGGAUACUAUGGCACGUGAGUUGUCCGUGAAGCACGUGAGUUGUCCGUGCGGAUUAUGGCGCUUGGGUUGUAGGAGCCCCUCCGGAGUCUAUACACCUCCAGUGAGCGUGGGUACCCAUUGAGUGUGAGUGCUGAGGGCUGGUAGCCCAGUGAGUGAUUAUUGUCCUGAGAGGCUGUACUUGCUUUUCGUUUGUUGUUGCACAUAGUUUCUAUCUGUCAUUGUUGUGAAAUUCUUUGAAAGAUUUUAUAUCCAGAUUACAUGAACUUGAACUGUAUAGAACUGAUUUGACUUAAACUGCUAGAUUUGAAAACAUGUCUUUUCUUUGCUAGAAUUACUGAAAAUGAACUAUAACUGUGUAGCUCGUCACUAUCUUCAGUUCCUUAUUUAUUAUUAUUACUUACUGAGUUGGUUGUGCACAUACUACACUCUGCACUUCGUGUGCAGAUCUAGGUGUUCCCGGGCAUAGCGGAUGUUGAUUCUCUCGCACGGUUGAUUUUUCGGAGAUUCAGAAGUAGUUGCCAUAUUUCGCAGACCUUGUAUCUCCUUCCCCAUCUCCUUGUUUAAUCUAUUUGGUCUUAGACUGUUAUAGACCGUAUUUUCCAAACUUGUAUUCAUACUAGAUGCUCAUGUACUUAGUGACACUAGGUUUUGGGAGUAUUUAUAUUUGUACUUAUGAGAUUUCUUCCGCUACAUUUAAUCAUUCUCUUUUCAAAUUUAAAAGAAUACGUGAUUUAUUGAGAUUGUCGGCUUGCCUAGUAUUGAGAUAGGCGGCAUCACGACGGGUGGGAUUUUGGGUCGUGACAAGUUGGUAUCAGAGCCUAGGUUACAUAGGUAUCACGAGUCAUGAGAAGGUUUAGUAGAGUCUUGCAGAUCGGUACGGAUACGUCUCUACUUAUCUUCGAGAUGAUGCAGAUCCCUAAGGAAAACUUCACUUUCUUGUAUUCUGUUAUGCGAAUUUGUUGAUUCCGGAAGCUAAAUUUAUGUUAUUCUAUUCUCUCACAUAUGGUGAGGACACGUACUACUGGAUCGAACGGUCAGCCACGAGUUAGGGGCGCGAGAGGUCGGAGCCGAGGUAGAAGUCAAGGUGUAGCUCGUACCACAGUUGGACCAGCGCCUGUAGUACCACCAGUUGCUCCAGCUCAGGAGAAGAUACCAGAUAUAGCUGAACCGACAGGACCAGCUCAAGCACCAACUGUGCCCAAUGAGAUUCCAGGCCUUUAGGAGACUUUGGCCCAAAUAUUGACAGUUUGCACUGGCCUUGUUCAGGUGGUUUUGGCUCAGGCCGCACCUGCCACUUCUCAGGCCGGGGGAGGUACUCAUACCCAUAUUGCCCGUACUCCAGACCAGGUAGUACAUGGACUUCAUAUACCGGGGGCACUACCAGCCCAGCCGGUUGUAGUUGCUCAGGCCCCGGUAGUUCUUGUUAUGGCAGAUGAUGAGCAGAGGAGACUUGAGAGAUUUGAGAGUCCUAGACCUCCACCAUUUAGCGGUACUGAGUCAGAAGAUGCUCAGGAUUUUCUGGAUAAGUGUCAACGGAUGCUUCGGACAGAGGGUAUUCUGGAGACCAGUGGGGUCUCGUUCACUACUUUUCAGAUGGUGGGCGUAGGCCGGUCGGCGCAGCACCCCUUACCUAGCAGCAGUUCUUCGGUCUAUUCCUGGAGAAGUUUGUGCCUCAAUCCCGCAGAGAGGAGUUGCGCAGACAGUUCGAGCAUCUUCGUCAGGGUGACAUGUUCGUGACACAAUAUAAGAUGAGAUUUUUAGAGUUGGACCAUCAUGCUAUCUGGAUGAUUCCCACAGACAUGGAGAGGAUCAGGAGAUUCAUAGAUGGCCUUACUUUUCAGUUGUGAUUACUCAUGACUAGAGAGAGAGUGUCUGAUGCUACUUUCGACGAGGUUGUCGACAUUGCUCGUCAGAUUGAGAUGGUUCACAGUUAAGAACGGGUUGAGAGGGAGGCUAAGAGGCCACGUGGUGCAGGUGAUUUUAGCGGUGUUCCUUCAGGUGGUCAGUUUUACCGCGGUAGGGGUCGUUCUUUCAGACACGCUCAGGCGACUCGUCCAGCUCAUCAUGGUGCAUCAGCUAGCCACGGUUCUUACAGUGCUCACUCAAGACAGUCUUCAUUCAGUGCACUACCAGCGCAGGGUUCUCAUCAUCCCUCAUCCGCUCAGGCUUCUACAAACAAUUCUCCGGGUUAUCAGGAACAUCAGUUCCGUCAGAGGAGGGGUUGUUUCGAGUGCAGAGAAUUGGGUCAUUUCAAGAGAGAUUGUCCUAGGUUGUUGAGUGGGGCUCUAUAGCAGAGUUCUCGACCAACGGCACCAGCACUAGCUGUUACACCACCCGCCAAGCCAGCUCGUGGUGGGGGUCAGGCAGCUAAGGGUCGCCUAAGAGGGGGAGGCCGGUCAGGUGGCGGUCAGGCCCGAUUCUAUGCUUUUUCUUCAAUACCAAAUGUUGUUGCCUCAGAUGCAGUGAUCACAGGUAUUGUUUCAGUGUGCCAUAGGGAGGCUUUUAUAUUAUUUGACCCUAGUUCCACUUAUUCAUAUGUAUCAUCGUAUUUUGUUCAUUAUUUGGAUAUGCCCUGUGAGUCCUUAGUUUCACGUGUUUGUGUAUCUACACCGGUGGGUGAUAUUAUUACUGUGAAUCGUAUGUAUCGGUCGUGUGUGGUAACUAUUGAGGAACUGGAGAUUAGAGUUGAUCUCUUAUUACUCGGUAUGGUUGAUUUUGAUGUAAUACUGGGCAUGGAUUGGUUGUCUUCAUGUCAUGCUAUUCUAUACUGUUACGCAAAAACCUUGACAAUAACGAUGCCGGGGUUGCUAAAGGUUGAAUGGAGAGGUUCUCUAGAUUUUGUUCCUAGCACGGUAAUUUCUGAUUUGAAGGCCCAACGUAUGGUUGGAAAGGGAUGUUUGUCAUAUUUGACCUUUGUGAGAGAUGUUGAUGCAGCUACUCCUAUUAUUGAUUCAGUACCGGUCGUGCGAGACUUUCCGGAUGUAUUUCCUGUAGACCUGUCGAAUAUGCCACCGGACAGGGAUAUUGAUUUUGGUAUUGACUUGGUGUAGGGCACUCAGCCCAUUUCUAUUCCUCCGUAUCGUAUGGCAUUAGAUGAGUUAAAAGAAUUGAAAGAGCAACUUCAGGAACUCCUUGAAAAAGGGUUUAUUAGGCCUAGUGUAUCGCCUUGGGGUGCACCGGUUCUGUUUGUGAAAAAGAAAGACGGUACUAUGCGGAUGUGCAUCGAUUAUAGGCAGUUGAACAAAGUUACAAUCAAGAAUAAAUAUCCCUUGCCACGUAUUGAUGACUUAUUUGACCAGCUUCAAGGGGCGAGGGUGUUCUCCAAAAUUGAUUUGAGAACUAGGUAUCACCAGUUGAAAAUUCGGGAUUCGGAUAUUCUAAAGACGGCAUUCAGAACUCGUUAUGGCCACUAUGAAUUUCUUGUGACGUCUUUCAGGCUAACCAACGCCCCAGCAACAUUUAUGCACUUGAUGAAUACUGUAUUCCAUCCAUAUCUUGAUUCAUUCGUCGUAGUAUUUAUUGAUGAUAUCCUGGUGUACUCACGUAGCCAGGAAGAGAAUGCACAACACUUGGGUAUUGUAUUACAAAGAUUGAGAGAGGAGAGACUUUAUGCCAAAUUCUCUAAGUGUGAGUUUUGGCUUAGUUCGUUGGCAUUCUUGGGACACAUAAUGUCUAGUGAAGGGAUUAAUAUGGAUCCGAAGAAAAUAGAGGCAGUUCAGAGUUGACCCAGGCCAUCUUCAGUUGCUGAGAUUCGGAGUUUUCUCACUUUGGCUGGUUAUUAUCGUCGCUUCGUGGAGGGUUUCUCGUCUAUUGCAUCGCCUAUGACUAAAUUGACCUAGAAAGGUGCUCCGUUCAGGUGGUCAGAUGAAUGUGAAGAGAGAUUUCAGAAGCUCAAAAUAGCUUUGACUACAGCUCUAGUAUUGGUGUUGCCUACAUGUUCAGAGUUUUAUACUGUGUAUUAUGACGCGUCGCGUAUUGGUCUCNNNNNNNNNNNNNNNNNNNNNNNNNUGAUAUCACCAAUCUCUAUCAUCCCGGAAAGUCCAAUGUAGUGGCCGAUGCCUUGAGUCGUAAGGCGGAGAGUUUGGGAAGCUUAGCAUACUUACCGGUAGCAGAGAGGCCUUUAGCCAUGGAUGUUCAGGCCUUGGCUAACCAGUUUGUUAGAUUGGAUGUUUCCGAGCCGAAUCGAGUUUUGGCUUGUGUGGUUACUCGGUCUUCUUUAUAUGAUCACAUCAGCGAGCGCCAGUAUGAUGAUCCCCAUCUGCUCGUCCUUAAAGACAUGGUUCAGCACAGUGAUGCCAAGGAAGUCACUACUGGGGAUGACGGUGUAUUACGUAUGCAGGGCAAGCUAUGUGUGCCUAAUGUAGAUGGUUUGCGUGAGCUGAUUCUCCAGGAAGCUAAUAAUUCACGGUACUCUAUUCAUCCAGGUGCCGCGAAGAUAUAUCAGGAUUUGAGGCAUCACUAUUGGUGAAGGCGAAUGAAGAAAGAUAUAGUUGGAUUUGUAGCUCGGUAUUUAAAUUGUCAACAUGUAAAGUAUGAGCUUCAGAGACCGGGCAGAUUACUUCAGAAACUUAAAAUUCCGGAGUGGAAGUGGGAGCGUAAUACCAUGGACUUCGUAGUUAGGCUCCCACGGACUUUGAGAAAGUUUGAUGUUGUUUGGGUGAUAGUAGAUCGGUUGACCAAAUCUGCGCAUUUUAUCCCAAUUAGUACUAAUUAUUCUUCGGAGCAGUUGGCUGGGAUUUAUAUUCGCGAGAUUGUUCGCCUACACGGUGUGCCAGUGUCCAUUAUUUCGGAUCGGGGUACGCAGUUUACAUCACAGUUUUGGAGAGCAGUUCAGCAAGAAUUGGGCACACAGGUUCAAUUGAAUACAUUAUUUCAUCCUCAGACGGACGGACAGUCCGAGCGCACUAUUCAGAAAUUAGAGGAUAUGCUACGCGUUUGUGUCAUUAAUUUCGGGGGUUCUUGGGAUCAAUUUCUGCCACUCGCGGAGUUUGCUUAUAAUAAUAGCUACCAGUCAAGCAUUCAGAUGGCUCCGUAUGAGGCUUUGUGUGGGAGACGGUGGCGGUCCCUGGUGGGUUGGUUUGAGCCGAGUGAGGCUAGGCUAUUGGGUACUGACUUGGUUCAGGAUGCUUUAGAAAAGGUCAAAGUGAUUCAGGAACGGCUUCGCACGGCACAGUCUAGACAGAAGGGUUAUGCCGACAGGAAGGUUCGUGAUGUUGUUUACAUGGUUGGGAAGAAGGUUCUGCUCAAGAUUUCACCCAUGAAGGGCGUGUUGAGGUUCGGGAAGAAGGGCAAGUUGAACCCUCGGUAUAUUGGACCUUUUGAGAUACUUAAGAAAAUUGGAGAGGUGGCUUAUGAACUUGCCUUGCCACCUAGUCUAUCAGGUGUUCAUCCAGUAUUCCAUGUAUCCAUACUCUGAAAGUAUAUCGGGGAUCCAUCUGAUAUUCUGGAUUUCAAUAUAGUGCAGUUGGAUGGUAAUUUGACUUAUGAUGUGGAGUCAGUGGCUAUUUUAGACCGGCAGGUUCGAAAGUUGAGGUCAAAGGACAUAGCAUCAGUGAAGGUGCAGUGGAGAGGCCAGCCAGUCGGAGAAGCUACUUGGGAGAUUGAGUAGGAAAUGCGGAGGAAAUAUUCACACUUAUUUGAGACUUCAGGUAUUAUUCUAUACUCGUUCGAGGAUGAACGUUUGUUUAAGAGGGGGAGAAUGUAACGACUCAGCCGGUCAUUUUGAGUAUUAUUACCAUGUUUCCCCAUUUACUGCUCAAGUUAUGCUUUAUAGUUAUUUUAUGACUUACCGUGUUAGUUGGUACAAGUCCGGAAGGAUUUCGGAGUAAAAGGAGACACUUAGUCUCAUAAUUAAAAACUUAAGCUAGAAAAGUUAACCAGAUAUUGACUUAUGUAUAAACAACCUCAGAAUUUAAUUCUGAUGAUUCCAAUAGCUCCGUAUGGUGAUUUUGGACUUAGGAGCGUGUCUGAAAAAUUAUUUGGAGAUCGAUAGUGGAAUUAGGCUUAAAAUGGCGAAAGUCGAAUUUUUGGGAAGUUUCACCGGGGGUUGACUUUUUGAUAUCGGGGUCGAAAUCGGAUUCUGAAAAUUUAAAUACCUCUAUGUUAUUUAUAACUUGUGUGCAAAAUUUGAGGUCAAUCGGACGCGAUUUGAUAGGUUUUGGCGUCGUUUGUAGAAACUUGAAAUUUCCAAGUUCAUUAGGCUUGAAUUGGGGUAUGAUUCAUGGUUUUAGCAUUAUUUGAGGUGAUUUGAAGGUUCGACUAAGUUCGUUUGAUAUUUUAGGACUUGUUGGUAUAUUUGAUUGAGAUUCCGGGGGCCUCGGGUGAGUUUCGGAUGGUUAACGGAUCAAAUUCGGACUUAGAAGAAAAAGCUAAAGUUUCUGCCAUCUGAUGCAAUUGCACCUGCAGAAAUUCCAUCGCAGGUGCGAGCUGGCAGAAGCGAGCCUGGAAAGCGCAGAUGCGGGCAGAGGGCUGUGAGGCAGUGGUCGCAGGUGCGAGGGAAAUUCCGCACCUGCGAUGAGCGCGGAUGCGGUCCCCUGAUCACAGAAGCGGAGGCAGGCUUAAGUGAUUUUUCCGCAGAAGUGGAGCUUUGAUCGCUGAUGCGAAAAUGGAGCCGCAUGUGCGAAACUCCUGUCCAGAAUGUUAAAAACAGAGGAGUCCGAGAUUUUGUCAUUUUUGACAUUUCCAAAAGCGGGUGAGGCAAUAUUUGAGCGAGAAAUCAUGAAAAAUUUUGAGGUAAGUCCCUUGUGAUCAUUUCUACUCCAUAAUAUUGAAUUGUCAUCGAAUAAUCCGACUAGAUUACAUGUUUUUGAGGUGUAAAUUGAGGAUUUGAACUUAGGAAUUUGAAAAUAAUAUUUGAAAAUUUGGAGGUCGAGUUGAGGUCGGAUUUUGGUAAAAUUAGUAUGGUUAGACUCGUGGUUGAAUGAGCUUUCAGAUUUUGUAACUUUUGUCGGGUUCCGAGACAUAGGCCCCACAGGCGAUUUUUGAGCUAAAUUUCGGGUUUUUAUGAAAAUUUUAGUAUUUUCUUAUGGAAUUAAUUCCAAUAAAUUUUAUUGACUGAAAUGAAUUAUUGUGACUAGAUUCGAGGCAUUCGAAAGCCGAUUUGUGAGGCAAAGGCAUAGCAGAGUAAAGAAUUUCACGUUUUGAGGUAUGUAACAGUUAUAAAUCUGGUCCUGAGGGUAUGAAACUCCGGAUUUUGUAUCACGUGAUUAUUUUAGAGGUGACGCACAUGCUAGGUGACGGGCGUGUGGGCGUGCACCGAGGAGAUUGUGACUUGGUCCGUCCCGUAAAACUGUAAAGUUGAAUAACUUAUUGUUAGCUAUAUGUUCUCUAUGUGUUAAAGAAAUUUGACUGUAAAUCAUGCUUAGGCUAUGUGAUAGUGUUGUUGGGACCCGUAGAGGUUGCGUACUUGUUGAAUUAUUUGCUAACUGUUGUCUUGUACUCAGCCAUGAUUUUACAUGCGUAUCAUACCUUAGUCUUUCUUGAUUUUGUUGAUACACUAUGUUAUCUUUGUUUGGGCUGAUCUUUGUAAUUUUCGAGAGCCCGAGAGACUAGAGAGGUUGAGGACUGACUAAGGCCGAGGGUCUGUCGGUGAGGUAAGGAUACUAUAGCGUGUGGGUUGUCCGUGCAGGAUAUUAUAGCACGUGAGUUGUCUGUGCAACACGUGAGUUGUCCAUGCGAAUUAUGGCGCUUGGGCUGUAGGAGCCCCUCCGGAGUCUGUACACCCCCAGUGAGCGUGGGUACCCAUUGAGUGUGAGUGUUGAGGGCUGGGAGCCCAGUGAGUGAUUGUUGUCCUGAGAGGCUGUACUUGCUUUUCGUUUGUUGUUGCACUUAGUUGCUAUCUGUCAUUAUUGUGAAAUUCUCUGAAAGAUUUUAUAUCUGGAUUACAUGAACUUGAACUGUAUAGAACUGAUUUGACUUAAACUGCUGGAUUUGAAAGCAUGUCUUUUCUUUGCUGGAAUUACUGAAAAUAAACUAUAACUGUGUAGCUCGUCACUAUCUUCAGUUCCUUAUUUAUUAUUGUUACUUACUUAGUUGGUUGUACUCAUACUACACCAUGCACUUCAUGUGCAGAUCCAGGUAUUCUCGGGCAUAACGGGUGUUGAUUCUCUCACACGGUUGAUUUUCCGAAGAUUCAAAGGUAGAUGUCGUGUUUCGCAGACCUUGUCUCUCCUUCCCUAUCUCCUUGUUUAAUGUAUUUGGUCUUUGAUUGUUAUAGACCGUAUUUUUCAGACUCGUAUUCAUACUAGAUACUCAUGUACUCAGUGACACCAGGUUUUGGGAGUAUUUAUAUUUGUACUUGUGAGAUUUCUUCUGCUAAAUUUAAUCAUUCUCUUUUCAAAUUUAAAAGAAUUCAUGGUUUAUUGAGAUUGUCGGCUUGCCUAGUAUUAAAAUAUUACGACGGGUGGGAUUUUGGAUCGUGACAAUUAUUUUUCGAUGAAAUGAAUUCGAUUAAAUCCUUUUCGGACCAUGUAACUCCACCCUAACACUUUAAAGAUAUUGCAACAAUCACAUCUACAACCAUUGAUUCUAAAUUUUUGCUAUACGACACUUUUACAACUAUGAUAGAGGUAUCAAUUUACUCCAAAUCAUCGAUUAAAUCCUUUUCGGACCAUGUAACUCCACCCUAACACUUUAAAGAUAUUGCAACAAUCACAUCUACAACCAUUGAUUCUAAAUUUUUGCUAUACGACACUUUUACAACUAUGAUAGAGGUAUCAAUUUACUCCAAAUCAACCCCUCAGAGCUUGUUUGGUACAAUGAAUAAGGGAUAAUUAAUUCCAAAAUUAAAUUUGAGAUGAAUUUAUCUCACAAUUGGUUGGGAUAAAAUUGCAAUAUAAUUUCGCAACUAGUUAUUCCAAGAUUAUGAUGUUAUUUUUAUCCCUAUAGGAGGGCGGGAUAAUUAAUCCCGAAAUAAUUAAUCAUGUGAUAACUUAUUAGGGGUAUCAAUGUGAUUGAAGUCAACUUCAUUUUCACUUUCCAUUUGAUUGAAUGUACUAGUAUUGACUCAAACUGAAUCUAUUUAGCUAGCCAAACUAAGAUCACGAAAUUUAAUGCAACUUGCAGCCACAGCAUACGACACCCUACUUUUCGAUAACGAUAUUGAUUCCUGUACCAAAACUUAUAAAAUAAUGUUUAUUUUAUAAAAAAAAAAGAUCAUCAGAAAUACGUGAAGAUCAGAUAUUCAACCCAGAGCUGGAGAGCCAAGCAGAGGGAAUCAACCAUUCAAGGUCUCUACUUGGCAUAUUUGUCAUCCGCGACAGCUUGAACACACCUCAACUGUUCCACUGCACAUACAUUCAAUCUCCCACCAGCAUAGACAAGGCAAUAGUAACUUUAACGACUAAAGCUUAGAAAGAUGGGAAUAUUAUCUAAUUUUUUGUUUCUACUGAGAUUAAACCUCGGUUCUAGUGUUGGAUCAACUUUAUUAACCACUAAGCCACAUCUUUGGAAGUUCAUUCAAGGUUAGAAGUUAUACAUCCAAAGCAGUUAUCAGAUAGUAAUUCAUCAAUAAAGCACUUUCACCAACAAUAAUGAAUGAGAUAACUUCAAGUUCCCAACACUAAUUUCAUGGCAGCUGCAAAACUUCCUAAUGCAGCAAAAUCACCAUCUUAAGCAAUUAUUAGAACCGAAACAAGAAGGGGACAACCCGGUGCACUAAAUUUACGUUGUGCGAGGUCCAGGGGAAGGCCUGACCACAAAGGUCAAUUGUACGCAAUCUUACCCUGCAUCUCAGGAGACUAUUUUCACGGCUCGAACCCGUGACCUCCUCCCGAUCACAUGGCAGCAACUUUACCAGUUACACCAAAGAUCCCCUCCUUAGAACUGAAACAAGGAUGACCAAAAAAAAAAAAUAGCUACAGCCAAAGUGCUAAUGCAAGACAAACUGCUGCAUACAUGGCUAUUCUGUCCAAUGAUAUUACUAGGCCUUCACAUUUAAUUUUAGGUGAAGCUUCAGAAGGAGCUCUCAUUCAGAAAGAACCAACUCUUUGUACUAAUGUUACAGAUCAAGAAAGCUUCAAAAUAACUAACGUCAAAUGAUUCCAAAAGGUGAUCAAUUUCUAUCAAAAUCCACAGUACUACAGAGAAAAGCAAAAGGAAGAAAUCCCAGAAAACUUAAUAUAACAAACUACAGAUAUACACAAGCAGGAUAAACUCACUUUGUUCAGAAAGAACCGGCUCUUAAUCGACUUGAGACUUGAGAAUGACAAUCCAUUUCUUAGGGGGGAAUUAAUGACUAUCCAUUUAUUCUUGUUGCUCAAAGACAGACACACAACUAUGAUUGGGGAUCAAUGUUAAUCCAGACAAAUUUUGAUGUGGCCACUUAUUUGAUUGAAUAUUGCCUAGAAUUGGCUCAAACACUAAAAGGGCAGCCCGGUGCACAAUCCCACGUUCACGCGGGUCCGUGUUAUGGCCGCAUCCCAAGGGGGUAUAAUGUAGGCAUACUACCCUGAUGCAAGCAUCCGUGGUUGAUUCCACAGCUCGAACACAUGACCUAUAUUGCACCGGAGACAACUUGACUGUUGCUCCAAGGCUCCCCUAUUGACUCAAACACUGAAUCCAUAUUUUCAUGUGGCCAAACUAUGAUCACAUAGCGGACAAAGACUUACAACCACAAAAUCUGUAUUAGCAAAUUUACCAAACCAUGCCUGAGAAAAUCAUACUAAUAGACAUAUAAGAUCAUCUUAAAUUCAACUCAGCCAGGAGAUCCAACAAACCAGUGAAAGCACUUAGAUUGCUUGACUGCAAGCUAAGGAAUCAAACAGUGAAGGAUUCUAUUUCUUACUAUGUUGCUCGGAUUCUCCGACGAUGUUGCCGGGCGUGUGUCGGAUCCUCCGAAAAUCACGGUGCGGCAUCAUUUGGAGAGUCGGUGCAACAUAGAUUUCUUGGCACAGCCUUGCUUGUAAAAUGUUACAAUGAGCAUCCUUCAAUGAGGGUAUUACAUAGGCCGUACACCCAAAGCAAGAAACACAAAUCAGCUAAUCCUUGUCCAAAAGGAGAGGGGGGAAACUUCUAUCAAUAACAAAUUAACAAGCAAUAAAGAGACUUUAAGUUUCUUUACAUUAUGUUUGUGACAACUCCAUACUUACAAAUACUUAUUGCCCUGUAACCACCUGAAGCAUUUCAAAGUGAUACAACGGGUAGAAGCAAAGUGUUAAGGUAGGACGACAUGCUUCAUAUGUUGCAAUUUUGUCAAAGGACAUAACCAGGAAUCUUAUAGAACUUCAGGUUACGCUUCAAAAGGAGUUUUCAUUCAGAAAGAACCAACUCUUUGUACUAAGACGCACGAGAAAAACAUCAAAACAACCCAUAAUUUCUUUCAGCUGUAUUUUUCAGAGAAAAAAGGAAAUAAAUCCCACAAAUAAACAUCAAACUUCUGAUCUACAAAAAAGAACAAAUCUUUUACUUAGUUUCCCCUUCUUUUUUAUGAUAAAAUACAUGGGCAGUGUUCUUGAGCCACUAUUACUCACUAUUUCGCCAUAUAUUUCCUUUGGUUGCCAAAGAGUCAACUAGGACUGUAUUUCUUCUCCUCUAGUGAAGUACUCUACAGAAUAAUUAUAUUCGCACAAACAAAGUCACAGACAUAACAUCAAAGCAAACAAACCAAAAACAACAUAUUUCACCUGAUUAAAACCAAUUUACCUGAGGAGGCGCAACUAUUCAUUUACCAAACUAUUCUAUAAAUUGAGCAAGCCAAUCUCAAUCCAGUCACAGAAACACUAGAUAAAAGACCAAAAAAAGGCCAUAAACUUAAUUAGAAAGGAUAUAAGUUAUAUGCACAAACUGUGAAAUGAUAUACCAUCAGUGUAAUUUAACUUGUCAUAACAUAUUAUUUACCAUUUAUUAACGAUUAGCAAUCAAUGCUAUUAAAUAAAGUCAACUGCAAUUACCUUUUAAGUGACCUGAUUGUGUAAAUAUUUUUAAAUUGUCAGUGUACAUAACAUAAAUUCUCCGAAACAAAGCAAUUAGAAGGCUAGCUUGCUGAAGAUCAAGUUAUUAAGCUGCUGUUCACGGUCCAUUACUAUGAUUAUGGGCAAAAAUUAGCCAAAGAGAAACAUAUCUCACCUGAUAAAAUCAAUUUAGCAGAGGAGGCUCAAACAUUUAAUAACACAAACUACUCUAUUAAAUUAAGCAAUCCAAUCAGAAACCCAUCACUAAAACAUUACAUAAAACAAAACAAAACCCACAAAUUUAGAUUAAAUCAUUUAUUUCUGAGGUGCUGCUGCAAGUGCAAGGGGAGCACCAAGAAGGCUAGCUUGCUGAAGAUCAAGAUCAUUGAGCUGUGGGGCUCGAACCCGCAGCUUCCUCCUUGACAGGAUGGAGCUCUGACCAAUUGAACUACAAUCCCGGGGAAAUACGGGAUCUAGCAGAAAAUUUGAUUCUUUUUUCUCUCCGGAACAGGUAUUUCUGAAGUACAAAGGGGAUGAACUAUUUAGGAGGAUUAAAGAGAUGCAACAAUUAGGUGUUCACGGCUGCCCAUCUAAACAUAUUUCAUCAAAUAACCAUAUUCUUCAAUCACAACCCCAUCACUAAAACACUGCAUAAAACAAAACAAAACCCACAAAUUUAAAUUAAAUCAUUUAUUUCUGGGGUGCUGCAAGAGCAGGGGAAGCACCAAGAAGGCUAGCUUGCUGCAAAUCAAGAUCAUCGAGCUGUUGUUCACAUAAAAUUAGACUAUUUAGGAGGAUUAAAGAGAUGCAAAAAUUAGGUGUUCACAGCUAUCAGGCUAAAAACAUUUCAAUUGAUAAAAUCAAUUUACUAAAAGAGGCAGCACAAACAUCAAAUAACCAUACUUUUCAAUCACAAACCCAUCACUAAAAUGUUACAUAAAACAAAGAAAAAACCCCACAAAUUUAAAUUAAAUCAUUUAUUUCUGGAGUGCAAUAGCAGCAGAAGGGGGAGCACCGAGAAGGCUAGCUUGUUGAAGAUCAAUUUCAUUGAGCUGUUGUUCACGAUCCAUCACUAUAAUUAAAGGCAAACCCAGAACCAAAAACGUUGUCGCAACUAUCCACGCAGCUUUUCCAGUGCUUUUAGCAAGUUUUUUGCCUACAUACGUGGCAUCACUAGCUGCUUGCUUUCCUUUGAUCACUAUAGAUGAACGAGAAACCCUAGAGAUUAUGCCGUCGUUUUUGUUGCUGCUGUUUGAUUUGGUCAAAGAGAAGCGUUUUCCGCCGGCAGAUGCCAUUGUUGAGGUGGUUGAAGAGGGAGGUUUAGGGUUUUUGCUAGCUUGAGGUUUGGGCUAAAACCCUUGUCAUUUAUUGAGAUCUAAAGAAAACAUUUAUAGGAGAAAUGAAAAAAAAAGUAGAAAAGCAAGCUUAAGUUUAUUUUUAGAAGCAUUUUAUUAAACUAUACUUAUGUGUCUUACUUUCUUUUUUAGUUUGUUUCAAAAAAAAUCUUACUUCUAUAUUUAUUUAAUAACACUUUAGUACCACAAAAUUUAAGCACAUUUAAUACAUUACACACUUCUUUAGUUUCUAACCAUAAUAUUUUUUAGCGACAAAAUAAUAUUUUUAUAAUUAGUAUUAUUCAACUAGAGAAAAGUUUUGGAAACGACGUUGAAUUCUUAAGCUUUCAUAUUGACAACUCAAUUCAUUCGAUAGGUAAUGAACCAAUUUGAACCAUAGAGAAAAUACAUAUACAACUUAACAAGAAUAUCAAUUACAGUAUCUAUUAUCCAAAAAGGAAUUCUUCUAGUAGUACCGGUCAUUUACCCCCUAUUUUUUCUAUAUUUUAUCAAGUGAUCAUGUUAGAGACAAAAACAAUCAUAAAUAAUUAAAUUAUGAGAUCCUUCCGGAUGAGCUAAGAGAAUUUUAUUUAUUUUCUUUUGUCUUGUUAAUUGAAGGGAAAAAAAGGUAUAAAAAUGAAUAAUGUCCCCUGGCAAAGACUGGUACAAUUCAAUUCAGUAUUUUGUUCGUUCAGAUUUAAUUGUAUUGUAGCUCUAUAAUUAGGAUGUUAUUUAUCAUUGGAUGAACGACAGAUAUUGAUCCUUAAAAAAUAUUUGAAGCAAUUAUGUGAUAACUUUUUCUUCUUCUCAAUCAUUCAAGAUAUUAUGUAAAUUAAUAUAUUACUAAAUCUAAUGAGUUAAAUAUAAAUUAUUAAAAUGUUUAAAUAUUUUUUUAUGAAAUAUUUUUAANNNNNNNNNNNNNNNNNNNNNUUNNUCAAAAUUGUAUUUUGUUUAAUUUAAAACAUAAAUAAAUAAAUAUUAAAAUUAUUUAAAAUAAAAAUAUAAUUAAACAGAAAAAGAGAAGAGGAGAAAAGAUUGUAUUUUGUUUGAAAGACAUAUUUGAAUAAAAUUAAUGAGAGGUUAUUUGAUAAAUCCUGAUGUUGCUUGAUUCAAGCUGAAGGACAAAUCCUGAAACUUGAAUAUUGUGUGAUCGUCCAGAAAAUGAUCAGAAAUUAGCUCUCUGGAGUUACUCAACAACUUGAGAAAUCAAACUAUUGUCAAAUUGAGUGUUUGACAACAUCAAAGCUAAUUAGAUUGUGAAAAUAUGGUACUCCAUUGUGAUUGUCCGAUCCUUUGUCUUCGUCUUCAUCGCCGUUUUGUGGGGCUUAUAUUGAAGAAAACAAAAUGAAAAGAAGAAAAAUAGGAUGGGAGGUGCCUAACUUUGUUGAAAAAUUAUAGGAUUAAAUCAAUAACAAGUCAUCUUCUUUACAGUAAUUGGACGACAUCUCUUACUAUAAAUAGAGGCCUCCAUUCUUCAUUUCAAUUACACCAAAAUAAGAGAAAAACAAUAGAAGUUAGAGAGAGUAAUCCACAGAUUGUAGUAUGUGAGAUAAAUAGUGACUGUGAGUAAUAUUGUAGUGAGGUAUUUUUAAAUAAAGAGUGUUAUUUCUUUCAAAAUUAUAGUAGUUUUUUGACACUAUUAAAUUGUAAUAUUAUAGUGAUUAUAUUGCUCUGCUCGAAUAUUGUAUUUUACCAUAUUAAAAGAGUUAGUGCCGUUGUUACUCUCUUGUGUUAUUAUUAUUUACCGUGGAUAUUAUUCAUGGGCGAAAUUAUUAUUUUUCCCAACAACGUGGUAUUCAAUACUUGUCUAGCUUUUGAUGAAUCUAUAAGAUGUUAGCAGUAAUCAUCAGUUAAAAGGAGCACAAAUUAAACGAAUUGGAAAAUACAAAGUAUUAAAACCAAAUACAGUCGAUUUAUUUGUCCAAGAGAAUAAAAUCCAGACAUGUCCCUUAGUCCCAUGUCUCGACAAAAUAUAGGAACCAAUAUCUUUUUGUGUAAGUUCUCACCACUACAAGAAAUAAGGGCUACGACACAUCUAUAUUAAUGUCGGUAAAGAAUUUAUAACAUUUAUUUACUGACUAUUUAUGAAACAUCGGAUUGAAAUUUCUGACAUUUAGAAUACUGUGAGUAAUAAAAAGUGAUAUUUAUUAACCACUAUUAUCAAAUGUCAAUAGUAUCAGUUUCUACUUACACUUGUGCAACACAUCCGGCUAAUGUCGAAAACACACAAUGAUCUUUGUACUUAAUAUUGAAAGCACAUUUGCUAUAAGUGCAAAGCUAAUAUUCAUUUCAUUAUACCUGAAGCCAUAACCAUCCAAUUCCAAAAUAUAUACAUCCAAAUGUCAUUCACCAUAGACAAUUUGAACUAAAGUAAAAUACUAUGAAAAGAAGAUCCCUAUAACUAAUUCCAAGUGUAUGCCUAAGUAAAAUCUAACUAAGUUUAGAACAACAAGAGAUUUCUUCACUUCUUCUUCAACUGUCUUCCACUCUUUCUGCUACUUUUUUCAAGGAGCUUCUUCUCCAAUUCACUUGUGUGUCUGCCCAUUUGAUACUCUCUUGAAUUGAGACAAGAAUAUUGUCUGAUGUAGUCACCUAUGCAUUUAUAAAAUGAGAAAUGUAUUAGCAAGCCGUUGAAGUUAAAAUUACAUCCCAUGCUUAACGGAGAGUCAUGUCGUAACUGGUAAAGUUGCGCGCUGCCCCGUGACCAGGAGGUCACGGGUUCGAGCCGUGAAAAUAGCCUCUUACAGAAAUGAAGGAUAAGGCUGCGUACGAUAAACCCUUGUGGUCCGACCCUUCCCCGAACCCCGCGCAUAGUUAGAGCUUAGUGCACCGAGCUGCCCUCUAUGCUUAACAUAUUAGCAAGUAGAGAAUAUAUGUAAUGUAGCCCUUAGUGCACCGAUGCUUAACAUAUUAGCAAGUAAAGAAUAUAUGUAAUGUAGCCUUUUUUACAAGUAUCAUCUAUGCAGUAGAGAAGACCUCUUGUUAUAUUCCAAAGUUUGUCUUCAAUUAAUAACAACUACGCCUCAAUUAAACAAGUUGGGAAGUUAACUUUGAAUCAAUGAACAAAAAUAAUUCUAUAAGAGUAGAAAUACAUAACUAUAAGAAAGAAUAAUGUUGUUUGGCCAUCAAAUCUAUAAGAACCCCAACCAAGAUUUAUAUGUUAAAGCGAACAUACAUCUUAAAGUAUUUGAAAAAGGCCAAAUAGAGGCAGAACUAAAUUUACAUGUAAAGCAAGUCUCAUACUAAGUCACACAAAUGAUUAUUCUUACCUGAUCACUCUUUAUAUGGAUUAAAGCAAGCCCCACGAGCAUGGAAUAGUUGCAUCGACAAGUAUUUUCAAGACAAUGGGUUUACUCGUUAUCUCCAUGAAUAUGCUCUUUAUCUUAAAGUUCAUAUUAAUGGAGAUAUCUUACUUGUUUAUCUUUAUGUUGAUGAUCUUAUUUUCACGGGUAAUAACCCAAGUUUGUUUCAAUCUUUUAAGAAAGAUAUGUCUCGUGAAUUCGAUAUGACAGACGUAGGGCUCAUGUCAUACUACUUGGGCGUAAAANNNNNNNNNNNNNNNNNNNNNNNNNNNNNNNNNNNNNNNNNNNNNNNNNNNNNNNNNNNNNNNNNNNNNNNNNNNNNNNNNNNNNNNNNNNNNNNNNNNNNNNNNNNNNNNNNNNNNNNNNNNNNNNNNNNNNNNNNNNNNNNNNNNNNNNNNNNNNNNNNNNNNNNNNNNNNNNNNNNNNNNNNNNNNNNNNNNNNNNNNNNNNNNNNNNNNNNNNNNNNNNNNNNNNNNNNNNNNNNNNNNNNNNNNNNNNNNNNNNNNNNNNNNNNNNNNNNNNNNNNNNNNNNNNNNNNNNNNNNNNNNNNNNNNNNNNNNNNNNNNNNNNNNNNNNNNNNNNNNNNNNNNNNNNNNNNNNNNNNNNNNNNNNNNNNNNNNNNNNNNNNNNNNNNNNNNNNNNNNNNNNNNNNNNNNNNNNNNNNNNNNNNNNNNNNNNNNNNNNNNNNNNNNNNNNNNNNNNNNNNNNNNNNNNNNNNNNNNNNNNNNNNNNNNNNNNNNNNNNNNNNNNNNNNNNNNNNNNNNNNNNNNNNNNNNNNNNNNNNNNNNNNNNNNNNNNNNNNNNNNNNNNNNNNNNNNNNNNNNNNNNNNNNNNNNNNNNNNNNNNNNNNNNNNNNNNNNNNNNNNNNNNNNNNNNNNNNNNNNNNNNNNNNNNNNNNNNNNNNNNNNNNNNNNNNNNNNNNNNNNNNNNNNNNNNNNNNNNNNNNNNNNNNNNNNNNNNNNNNNNNNNNNNNNNNNNNNNNNNNNNNNNNNNNNNNNNNNNNNNNNNNNNNNNNNNNNNNNNNNNNNNNNNNNNNNNNNNNNNNNNNNNNNNNNNNNNNNNNNNNNNNNNNNNNNNNNNNNNNNNNNNNUUNCUCCGCUCGGGUAUUGUAUUUUACCCCAUUAAAAGAGUUGGUGUCGUUGUUACUCUCUUGUGUUAUUAUUAUCUGCCGUGGAUAUUAUUCAUGGGCGGGAUUAUUAUUUUUCCCAACACGUUUCCCACAGAAAUCUAGCAUAUGCUGCAAGUAUAUCGCUGAAAGCAAAACCGCAUAGCUUCACAAUGAAUAGAGACGAAUCGAGAAUAUAAACUUGACGAGUUCAACCAUUAAGAUUCUUAUAUUAGCACCAUAAUGUAUUGUUAUUAUGGGUCCAGAAUUGAACAUUUCUCAAAAAUUUAGUAGUAGUAUUUUACACAUAUAUCUAUGUAACAAUGGCGAAGCCAGGUUUUUUCACUAAGGAUGUCAAAGUAUAAAGAAGUAAACACACCAGACAAUUUAACAUAUAGUGUAAUAUUUGGCGAAGGAGUGUUUGUUCCACACUGUCCUAUGUUCCAUAUCGGAAAUAUUUGAUUAAGUUGAAAUCAUUGAAGAUGGGCUCCAUCGCGAUAUGAGAAUUAAUGAACUUGAUGUGAAACAGCAUAAUAAAUAUGCAGAAUGUUAAUCUUCAUUCUUCUCCUACUAAUGUUAUCAGUGAAGCACUUUCCACCAUUCCAUUGUAGUAAUCAAACGAAAAGGAAUCUGUCUUCAAUUCCAUAGGUACUUUACGGUUGUAGUUGUAUUAAAGUAGUAGUUAAUAUUUCUAUAAUUGGAAGAUUUUUUAUGGCUCGACACAGUUCAUUGUUUACCUGUUUCUGUGAAAAGAAGAACCGAUGGCUCUUAUCGGAGGACCUCGAUAUGAACCGGCCCAGGGCUUUAUCUUGGUCGUGAUGAAGUUUCCAUAUCAACUUUGCAUACUGUGAAAUAAUUUCUCCAUCGUUAGCAUAUGCUAAUAUUGCGCGAGAGUUGUAUUCUUCAGCUCCUUUUAAAUCUCCCUUACACUGCCAGGCCAAUAACAAGAAGCAUAAUGACAAAUAUAAACUUACAAGUUACAUCUAAUAAUAUUCAUUUCAAUGCAAUGUAGAGUUUUCCGCUUGAAAAAGUAUGCUAUAAGUGUCUCAAGGUAGUCUAUUUUCAUUUGUUGUCUGUAUUUGCACACAUUUUGAUUGAGGCGAGAGCUCAUAAACAACAUGAACAACGACAACAAUGCUCAGUCCCAAACAAGUUGGGGUCAGCUAUAUGAAUCCUCACUUCUCGAUUUAAGCUCAACUCAUGUCAUUAUCAUUACCAAUGACGCAAAAGCCCACGUACAUAUACUGUUUUCGACACUAAUUGGACUACUCAGAUGAUCUAAAGAAAAACUAAACGAAAGCAAGUAUUUCACAUGUUUAUUUGAUGACAUCCUCAGAACAAUAAGCAAGAGGAAAAAUGGAUCUCACUUUAAGCACAUGAAGGAUGUAUAAGUGGUAACCUAGAAUGAGAAUAAGGGACAUUACCUGAUCAAGGAACUGAGCAUAGUUUCUUAACAACAACGCGCUAUUCGGAUUUUCUUGAAUCAUACUCCUGUAGUAAUAAUCAGCAUUUCCAUCACCAAUAUUACCACUUCCAAUCCCAAAUCCUGCUGCAAGAUGCAAUGGAGGAGUUACUGGUCUGUUAUCUCCUUUACAAUCCAUGUCCUGAAAUAUAGUAUAACUUCUUCUGUAAAGUACCCUUAGUUUGAUUGCAGGGUGUGUUUGUAUCGUGCUCGUUCUCAGUGUCAUCAUCAUUAAUCUCCCAAAGAAAACUAGCAUAUGCUGCGAGGACAUUGAGGGAAACAAAAAAUCAAUAUUAAUACCCCGUAGACUUGUCCUCUCACGAUAAGUAAGGAUUCAAAACUACAGAUUAUUAUUACCUGUCUUCAGGAUUAGCACGAGUGGCACGUUCAAAGUAGUUCAAUGCUCUAUUUUUAUCAUGGUGCAGCCUCCACACCAAUUUAGCAUACCGAGAUAAGAUAUCCCCGUCUUUUGGAUCUGCUAGUGUAGCUUGAAAGUAAUAUUCCUCAGCCCCGGAAAGAUCACCUUUUGACUGUCAAAGUUGCAGAAGGUUUAUAAACGACACAAAUAUCAGAAGAGAACCAAGCAUUGGACUAAAUCUCAUUAUGUGGAAACAAGAAUAGAGUUUUUAAGGGUAAAACAGCAUACGUCGUCACAAUUCCGUGUAUGCUUCAUCCAGCCAAAUCACUACUAAAUCUUUUAAGAGCAGAUCUUGUUGAAUUACACCAGAAAAAUUAGAACCAAAUAACAAUUAUAUCAGGACGUAUUGUGCGUCCCUAUGAGGCUAUGACCUUCCGAAUCAUUCAUAAAUAUGUUAUGGACAAAAUAAAUUAUGCUAAGACCACUAAAAAAAGAACACACACACACACACUUCCUUUUAUCAAUUUCAACCAUCAUUAUCUUCAGCUGAAAUCGGAGGGAAGAGUCGAGGACAUUUCUUGUCACUGUUCUUGACCUCUUUCAAUCAUACUUUACAUAUCAGAGUUCUUUUGGAUAUGUUCAGUUUGCACAGUAAUACAUCGUCGGCAUCUGAGAACACAAGCCCAAUGAUUGCUCUUGCAUGUUUUUAUGCAAUCUAUAAGGAACACAUAAUCUUUGAAGUAGCCUAUAGACUAUUAAAAUACUAACUUUACAGUUAUAGCCCUCAAUGAAGACUUCACAAUUGUCAAAUCUUAGAGAAAUUGUGCACGGUACAAAGAGAAUUGGCCAUGUUCAUAAACAUAAAAUAUAAAAAGACUCUCAAUGGAAUGGUGAAUAGAGUCAAUAGACCGACCUGCAAGAGCUGAGCAUAGUUCCUCAAAAACAAAGGGUUGGAAGGAUAUUCUUGGAGCGACCUCUUAUAAUGCGCUUCAAUAUCUCCAUUUUCUUCAAAAUCUGAAAGGUAUAGAGUUAGAACCAUGCAAUAGCGGAGUCAGGAUUUUCGCUAAUUGUCCAAAUUUAAAUGUGUUUUAUUUGAAGGUAUAGAGUUAGAAUCAUGUAGCGGUGGAGUCAAGAUUUUCACUAAGUUUCAAAAUUAGGUGUCACAACACCACUAUUGUCUAUGCCAUUGUCAUUAAUUCCAAAUCGAGAAGCAAGGUACAUUAGACCAACUUCUUCACUUCCUCCUUCAACUCCCAUAUUGUCUUUAAAUCCAUCCAAGACUCUUUCUUUAUCUUGUUUCCCUUCACCUAAUUCUUCAUUAUCAUCUUCUUCUAUCAGCCCCAUAACUCUUUUUCCAAAGCUGAAAUCAUCACUAAUUACUAUAUCCGCUAUAUCAUUUCCUAUAGUAACAGACUUCACCAAUUUUCCAUCAUUGAACUCCUCAAAAUCUUGAUUAUAAAUAGAAAGUGAUGGUUCUGUUUGCAACAUUAUUAUCUUCUCUUGCUUAUGACAAGAUCUUGAAACUACCUUUGAUCUGAUCUAUAUCCACUUGGUCAAGAUCAGAACUUGACACCAACCCUUUUAAAUUCCCAUCAGAUUGAGCUCUCCGGAUCGAUUUUCGACGAAGAUUACUGAUUUUUGGGCUGAAUUCGGUGUUGCCUGAAUAAAAACACAGAUGGUUUGAAGGGUGAAAUAAGACUGUGCCAAUAUAGUGAUCAGAGGUAUUAUCAAAAUCUCUUUGGACUUUCUGGAAAAAGUGUUUGUGAAACUGGAGUUGAUGAGCUUAGGAGCAUUAUUUGUAUGGUGUGAUCUAUGGCUGUUGCUUGAGACUGAGAAAACUUGAUUUGAUACUUCUAUGGAGAUCCUAAAUAAAGUGUUCAAAAAUGAUAAUUUGGUAGUUAAUAUGAAUCCUCACUAAAUAUAUUUUUUUAAUUUAAAUUUAUUUUAGAUUAAUAUUAUACAAAAUAAAUACUAUUAAGUUACUAGAUUUUUCUAUGUUUCUACCCGUAUAAGAAUUUUCAUGAGGACUAAAAGACUCAUAAAAAUAUAAGAUUUAAAGUAAACGUAUGACUAAACAUAUCAGUCAGAAGUGGAAAAAAAAUAUCCCACUAAAGAAUUUGGAUGGGAGAGUGUGAUAUAUAAUGUAGCCUACCUUUGAUUUGUUUCUUCUUAUUAUAGUAGAUGGUGGUGCAUGUAAAGAUAUGGGAGUGCGAUGAAACUACGAUGAGGUAAUAAAGCAAUACAUCUCUAUAACACCAUCCCUAUAUAAUAGACAUUCAUUAUAAAAGUCGAGUUAUUCUCUGAAUCGAAUAUUAUAUUAUAAUAUAUGUCCUCUAUAACAUCAUUUCAUUAUAGUAGUCAAAAAUUUUGAAACAAACCAGACUGUUAUAAAAAGGUUUGACUGUAUAUGUAAAUACAAAAACUAUUGGGAAUACCAUAAAAAUAAAAUAAAAUAAUAAAAAUUGGGAACAUCUUAGAGAAUAGGGAAAAGCCACGUGUCUUCAUAGAAGAUAUACGUGUAAGAAUUUCAAGUUUUUAUAGUCAGUCCCUUCUUGGACAACCAUUAAAGAAAACAGAAAAAAGUUUGGUUUUGAUGUAGAAAUUCCGGUUCUUGAUGGGAAGUCCUCUUUUAAAUUCUUUAACUUUAACUGAGUUGCCUUAGCACGUGUCGGUGACGUGUUUAGCCUAGUAUUGUAUAUCUAUAUGUCUUAACUUUUACUUGAAAUAUGUACAAUAUGCUUAGUUAAAUUACUUGUCUCUAUGAUCUUGUAUUCGGUCUUUAACUGUAUGAUUCUUUGCUGUAAAUUCAUUGUUCCAUAGAUUAAGAGUUGUAUAUUUACUUUUAGAAUUUCGAGGCGGUACCUCGGGAGAACCCCAUGUUCCAUAUUUACUUUUGGGACUAUGAGGCAGUACCACGGGAGAUCCCCUUGUUGCAUAUUUACUUUUGGGACUACGAGGUUGUACCUCGGGAGAUUCCCCUGUUGUGUAUUUACAUUUGGGACUACGAGGCGAUACAUCGGGAGCGCCCCUGUCGUUUAUUUCUAUUUGUUGUGUUGUUACCUUUCUGAAAUUUCUCAUUGUUAAAUUCUUAGUUGUUUCAUUAUAUUAUUAUAUCUUCUACCGUGUUUCCUUUUUAUUCCAGUAGGGCCCUGACCUGACCUCGCCAUUACUCUACCGAGAUUAGACUUGGCACUUACUGGGUACCACUGUGGUGUACUCAUGCUACUCUUCUGCACAUUUUUUGUACAGAUCCAGGUUCUUCCUACCAUGCCAGAUACCAGUGAGAUAGCCUGUGCGUGGAGACUUCAAGGUACAUGUGUCAGCGUCCGCAGACCUCAGAGUCUCCCUCUAUCUUUGUUAUGUUGUUUUUCCUUAUUCUGUUUAGACUCUGAUGUAUAGAGACACAUAAUAUUUUCUCUUAGAAGCUUGUGACUUAUUUCUACCGGGUUUUGGGAGUUGUAAUUAUUUUAAACUGCAGUUUUACUUACUUCACAUGUUGAGGUUUGAGUUUCAGUUUUAUAUUCAGUUAUUCCGCAAAUUGUUAGGCUUACCUAAUCUUAGAGACUAGGUGACAUCAUGACACCCUACGGGUGAAAAUUGGGAUCGUGACAUUUGCUUCCUCACUAUUAUUCACCACCAGAUCAGUACUACCAAACACCAUGGAAAUCACCAGAAGCCACUCGCAAGCUCCAUUGUGAAACCACCUGAAAAAAUACCACACUUAAUCUCCAAUACCACUGAACAAUGUACAUCUACCACCCAAUCCUAGCUCCACUGGUCAGAGGUAAAUCUAUGAUUUGAUGAAUGCGGGUACUACUAUUUUAAUACAAAUUUAUCACUGUUGAUUGAAUUGGUGUGCAUUUAGUCGAUUCGAUCCAUUUUGAAUUAAUUUGAUUCGGGUCGAUUCGAUCCAUUUUGAAUAAUUUAGUUCAAUGGACAAGACCUUUGGUGCAUAAAUAAAUAGGUGAUCACCAAAUUGAAUAAAUUUCAAUGCGAUCUAAUUUCGUGACUCAAAUUAUGAAUAAUAUAAUGAAAAGACAUAAAUAAAAAUAUAAAUUUAAAAUAAACAAAUACAUCUCUUCAAUCUACAUAUAGCUAGAUUUAUAUUAUCUUUGUUGAUACUAUCAUUCUAAAAUAUAUUUGGAAAUCAAGAAAAAAAUAAUGUAUAUUAGAAGGAUACAAAGAGAAAAUGAUUAAAAUCAUGUUCAAAUAAAGAUCUAGAAAAACAAAAAGGAAGCAAAUAUAUAAUUUGAUAAAAAAAAAAAAAAUAGCUACCAAGAGAGAGAAUGCAAAGAUGAAUAUUGAAGAAUUAAAAGAAACAAAGAAAAGGGGUAGAAAAAGAAGACAGAAAAGGGCACAAGUAGAAAGUAGCGUGGGAAAGCAAGCAAGUGAGAAUCAAUCCUACAUCAAGCAGAUGGAAAGUUUGCACCUAAACCGUGGCACCUGGAGUGUAUUUGCUUCUCUGGGUGCCAUCGUUUAAUUAUAUACGUUUUGUGUGUAAAAUAUCAAUACAUACAUCAAAUUUUACCCGAGCGAACGGGUGGCGUAUCACGCCUAUGCUCUUCAUAGAUCCGCCCCUGCCACCGGUUAUGAAGUUUUGUAUUGUAUCAUCUGAAGUGGUGUCUGGAGUACUAUAAAAGAACUUCAUAUUUAAUAUUCUUAAGUUGUAUUGAAGCAAUAGAAGAAUUUCAUAUCUCGAUUUUCUGAAGUUGUAUUGAAGCAGUAGAAGAACUUCGGAUCCAAUUUUAAAGUUGCACUUUGAAGCGAUAAAUUAGAACUUCAGAUCCGAUUUUUCUAAAGUUGUAAUGAAACGAUAAAAGAAUUUCAGAUCCAAUUUUGAAGUUGCACAUUGAAGCGAUUGAAGAACUUUAAAUCUUAUAAAACUUCAUACACAAUUGUGAUGUAUGUUCCGAAGUGGAUAAAUUUUAUAUUUUUUUGUGCAAUGCAAAUAUGACUUUAUUGGUGGCCCCAAAUUUUGGUAUAUUUACACGUAGCCUACAUCAGGAUAUUUUUCAUUCUUAUACUUGAACCCGAGAAUUUUAAUUAAAAGUGGAGGGUCAUAUUCAUUUCGCCGCAACCCUUAUGAUAUAACCCUUAUGAUAUAACAUAAGGUGUAUUGCAUACAUCAAAUUAUGACAAGAAAUACACAAGUCGAAGAAGACUAAAUUCUUUAAGGAAAAUCCCACGUAUGACUAAAUUCUUGCCUAAAAGUAAGGUCCAUAUAGUGAUGCCCUUUUAACUUAAUAACAUUUAAACAAUAAAAAGAAAAUCUCUGCGGCAAUACGGUAUAUUAUGUAAAACACAAAGUUGAUUCUAACUUAAUUCAUUGUAUAUGUUGCUUUAAUGUUCUCUCGAGAGCUCACCUUCUUCUCUUACCCCAAUUUCACUUGGGGUCUCUCCUCCACGUCCAUCCCAAAACCUUUCCCUCGUCGUCCUUUUCAGUCGGACGACGAGCGAAACCUCUUCUUUCUAUCACCACGAUCACGAUUAUUCUUAUUUUUUCAAAAUGCCACCAAUUUCCAAGAUGGGAAUGUUAAAACCAUUCCAACUCUUGGAAAUUAACAUCAUAUCCGUCCAAGAUUUGGAACCUACGUCCAAGAAAAUGAAAACCUACGUCACCGCGUGGAUCCAUCCGACGCAAAAACUCACCACGGGCGUUGAUGUCGAAGGUGGCAACAACCCUACGUGGAACGACAAGUUUGUUUUUCGAGUGGACGAGGAAUUUCUCCGACAAGACACAUCCGCUGUCCACAUUGAGAUUUUUUCUGUCCAUUGGUUCCGAGACUCGCUCAUCGGAACGGUUCGUGUCCUCGUCGGAAACCUAAUUCCUCCUAUUCGAGCUUACGGCCACCAUAAUCACCAUCUCGGAAUGCGUUUUGUUGCACUGCAGGUUUGUUUGUUCAUUCCUUUUUUUUCUUCAUAUGCUAUUUCUUGGCUAUUUAUCACUAACAUUAUUUGGUUACGUACAUACGUAGUUUCAUGCAUGCAUGCAAUCAAUUGAGAUAUUUUCUUUGAUCUCCUCUAUUGUUUAAUUUCUUUUUUUGUCUUCUUUUCUCCGAUUUACCUUUCUAAAUGUCAUUUUAUUUUCUAUAAAUUUGUGCAGAAAUUCCAAAUAAAUUUCACCCCUUUUAAUGAAUGUGACAAUAGCUUAACAUUACAUAUCAUGAGUUAGGUAUCAAGAAGUCGACAUAAGUAUAUGUUGUUUAUCAUUAUUCUCCUUAACAAAUGUACAUGUUUUUAUUAAAAACUAUAUGUAGCUAAGAAUUCUGUUAAAGUUUUUGAAUUAAUUAAUAUGUGAGUAUGAUGAUAAUUACUUAACAUAUAGUUCAAUAUUUGUUCAAUUGAAUUAUCUUAAUUGACAUUUAAAGAUCUAUCUAUUUUGGUGUACGUAGAUACGUCGUCCAUCAGGUCGUCCUCAAGGUAUAUUGAACAUCGGUGUGGCGUUGCUUGAUGGAUCUAUGAGAAGUAUGCCACUAUAUAGGCAAAUGAGCACGUCAGCAGUUGGAUAUCGCGAUUUGAUGGAAGAAGAUACACAUCUACCACGCAAUAAGCAGAACAACACCGGCACCAGCAGCAGCAGCAACAACAACAACAACAACAACAACAGUAACACCAACAAUGUCACUACUUUAAAACCUAUAUUACGUCGAUCAAAGAGUGAACGUAGCGAACGUGUCACGUUCAAUGACAUUUCUAUGGGUAAUAGUUCAUUAGUUGCAGUUCCCUCUAAAAUAAAGGCUAAAGCUCAAGAUAAAGAGAGCUCAAUACUUAGUAUUUCAUUUGAGCCUCCGACUCAUAUGAUAAAAAAGAAGGGGAAAGCAAGUUCUGUUAUUAGUGGUGCAGAGCUAAGGGAGAAACCAAAAUCAGAAAGUAAAAAAGGUAAAUCAGGUUCUGUUUUGAGUGAUUCAAUUGUGAGCAAAGAGUCAUCUAGUUAUAACUGGCCUAAUAAUAAAAAGCCCAAGCCCAAACUCAAACUUAUUGAGUUAGAAAUGGGUAACAAAAAUGAGCCCACAACUAAAGUAAGUGAUGAUCAAUCAGUUACAAAGUCCAAGGGCUUAGGAGUUGGUGAAAAACCUAAAGAGACACCAAUACCACAAAUUGGAAAGCCCAUUGUGAAGUAUAGUGGAAAUGAAUAUGGAGGCCCAAAAGGCCCAAUGCAAAAUGGCAAGUUUGUUUAUGGAGGCCCAUUAAAGGCAAAUUCUCUUUGGUCCGAGUCCGAAAUUGGGCCUUCAGCAUCUGAAGUGGCAGCUGCAUUGGUCGAAAAGAGAUAUCCAUUGGAUGAUAAAAAGAGCUCAGUCUUGGAUGGUUGGAGCUUAGAUGAGAGCACCGAGGGGCUCCGAUCGAAGCUCGAGAGGUGGCGAACGGAGCUUCCACCGAUAUACGAUCGUGGGAUGGCCUCAAGCAGCUAUCAUUCGACCGGACGUCACCCGAGAAGGCAUUCGGACGGAGGGAGUAGCUUGUUUUCUUGCUUUGGUAAUAUUUGUGGGUUUGAAUGCCAAUGCAUUUGUGGUAAGCCUCAAAGGAGAAGUCUUAACAACAAGUAUCGUAGCCCAUCAACUGCUAGUCGAUCAUGGCUUUAAAAGCCCAAUUCCAAGACCAAGCCCAAUUAGAUUUUAAGGCCCAGUGCAAGAAGAAUGAUAUAUUGGUAUUGAGGAAUUUAAUUGGGGAAUCUUGUUGCUUAGGUCGCUCAUUUCACUAAACUUGUUCAUUAUUAUUUUUAUUUACAAUGCUGUAACUAUCCUUUUCCUUUGGAUUUUCAGGAGCAGAAUUUGUCAAAAUAAUAUAUGGUUUUCUUUAGCGGAAUUUCUCAUAAUUAUAUUCUCUUCUUUUUGAUUUAUACCCCUUUUUGAUAGUGGUAGUCUGUACCAACUUGCACGCACUUUCUCCUUUCCAUACAUUUAGACUUGAACAAAUGGGAAAAAGACACUAUGAACCUUAGUCGUCUUUCUUCUGUACAUCCAAACUUAGGCAAAUGGAAAAAGUCGCAUCAUGUUUUAAAUGUUGAUCUCAAAACCUUUUUUUCUACUUCACUAACCACUAAGCCACACCCGUGAUUGUUACAAAGCUAUGUGUGUUUCUAAAUUUGAAAACCGCCUAUUUCCUCUUCUAGAAUCGACCAGAGAUACUUAUCUAUUUUGAUCACAGGUGUAGACAAGCCUUCUAAUAUUUGAGGUAAAAGAGUUUCUAUAGAAGGCAACAUUCAUNNNNNNNNNNNNNNNNNNNNNNNNNAUAAAAUCUAUACAAAUUUUAUACUUUUUCGGCUAUCAGAUGUAAAUAACUUAUGUCGAGAGCUAAAAGUGAUGAUAACCCAAAACAAAAGUCAUUAGUUUAGCUUUCAAAAAAGCAUAAAUCAGCAUAUUAUUAUGACAAGCAAAUUCUUGUCCCCGUGCAAUAACCAUUAGACUCCAGUAAUACAACAAAGAAGACAUAAUAGAAGGACUCCUCAUUUCAUUUCAGAACAUUCAUUUCCUGGAGUAAACAAGAGAAAAAAGACAGAUCGCGCGCUGCCCUUUUCGGUAUACCUAAGCAUAAGAGUUUAAGCUGCAACUCAUCUAUUAGUGAUACAACAUACUUCCAACUCCUAAAACGAGUUAAUCAAAGCGCUUCA
rnacentral:lncRNA from 1 species